rnacentral:lncRNA from 1 species
UAUGUGCGAGGUCCAAGCCUUCGGAAAUUGCCCUCUCAGUUACCGAUCCUACCAAGGCAUCCAGAAAUAAGAGAAGGAAGCUCCUACAAGCCUCCUCAGAGCUCAGUGAUCGUGGGCCGUCAGAUUCGUUUGCUUGAUGGAGUUUGGGCCGUCGGAUCGAACGCGUGAAAGAGCUCAGCCGUCGGAUCUGGAAGGAGCACUAUAGAAAUGAAUAGUUACCGCCCUCUCCCAGUCUCUCUCACUCUGCAGAUUCGGUCUUAUCUUGCUGACGUGUGGGGUAACCCUCUAGUGGGCCCCGCAUGUCAUUUGCUGUGGCUGAGACGCGUCCCGUUGGCGUGCUCCACCGAUAAAAGAUCUCAUGCCACCGCCAAAAUUCCUGUGCCCCGCCGAGGGCAUUUGUGACAUUUCACUUAAUCCUAUGCCAAGUGGCUUCUCACCAUUGGUUGCUCCCUCCCCAAUCAGCGAGACAGCUAGGGCCGGUUCUCUCCCUCACAUCUCUCUCACGUUGAAGCCGCCACCCCCUCCCCUUCUCUCGCGUCGAAGCCGCCGCCCCCUCCCCUUCCCCUCGCGCCGCCGCCCUCGGAGAAGCACCGCGGCCGCUGCUGCUCCGCGUCGCCGCUCCUCACCCACCCACCGCGACCGCCUUCUCUCCCGGAACCCUAGCCAGUCGCACGCAGCCCAUGGCGUCGCCCUCGGCCAUCGCGUCGUCGCGGGGCUCGUCGUGCAAGGGCGCGGCUUCUGCCAAGGCCGCAUCGGAGGCCGACCAGGAGCUCUUGGCCUGGUAGCUCUUCCUCCUCCCAUUCGCCCACUUCGUCUCUGGAUUUUGCCGCUGCUCGGCCUCCUCUCGCCGCUGGCCGUCCGUGCUGCCGCUCGUGGCGCAGCAGUUCGAGGACACGCUGGUGCGCAUCCUGCUCGCCGCUGCCGCCAUGUCCUUCGCGCCCACACUCUCGUCGGCGGCGGGCGCGCUCACGCUCUCGGCCUUCGUCGAGCCGCUCGUCAUCUUCCUCACCCUCGUUGUCAACGCCGCCGUCGGCGUCUGGCAGGAGACCAACACCGAGAAGGCGCUCGAGGCACUGCGCCAGAUCCAGUCAGACCACGCCACCGUGCGACGCGACGGCGAGUGGGCGCCCGCCCUCCCCGUCCACGAGCUCGUCCCCGACGAGCGGGGCAGCGGGCGACGGCGACGGCGACGGCCAAGGGAGAAGGGGAACGGCGCUGCGGCCGCGUGCUGGGCCUGGGGAGCAAGCGACAGAUGCGAGAUGCAGGCUGGGGCCAGGAGAGCAGACUAGAGACGAGGGUUGGGGAGACCGGAACACCCUUUUGCUACGCCAAUGCCGCUCAAGGUCAGCCACUCCCUGCAUCCCACUCCCUCCCGAUCUGUCUCUUUUCGUGACACAUGUAGAGCAAGCCCAAUCAGUCGUGGUUUAGGGGUAAGCUGCGUCUGAUCCUCAUCCUGCCUGUGCUCCAUUCUGUGACUAGAUUUAUUCUACUAAUAUUUUUGCUGGGAUUUGUGGUCGUUUCAAUCGAUUAGGACAAAGCUAAUCUGAUUCUUUUCGAGAGUAAAGCUAAUCUGAUUCUGAUGAGCUGAGGUUUCAGGUUUUGACUGGAUGUAUGAACAUCCACUACAGGUUCUGUAAAAUAAAUAACAAAUUCAGUUUAUCGAUUAAUCACAAAUUCUAAUAUAAUGGGCGGCUAUUUUCUAUUAGUAUACUUGAAAUGAUAUUGAGGUAUGCUCCCAUGUUUUCAUCCGUGUACUAUGUAGAUGUAUACUGACAAUUAAGCUUUGAUCAUGAAUGCAUAAACCAUAGAAGAUUCUGACAAACUAAGUGGUGUGUAAUUCUCUGUUCCAUAGAAGAUUCACUGAUCCCUGUACUUUUGACCAAUUUAUUUUCACGACGUCUUCCGUGUAUUCCCUUUCUCAUGAUUUGUGAUUCUCAAUUCUGCCAGCUCUGUUGAGACAUGGAACCGAAGCCGUGAGGCGGACAUCAUCAUUUUGUCAGAUUAAGUGUGGAGUUACAAGGUACUCUAUUGGCAACCUCAUAGACCUGCAUCAACUAUCAUUACAAGUAGAGCAUUUCCGUGCUCUUAAGUCAAUCUAUUAGGGAAAAAUCAAAGGCUUUUGUCCCUGUUAAUUAUUUUUUGUUCUAUUGUAUGUAGGCAUCUUAUCUAUCUGUAACAUGUGAUGUGUGCAACUAUAGAAAUGUUAGGCUAUAAUAGCAAUUCUUUGCAACACAUGUUCUCAUACAUUUAUACUUACUGCUAGAAUGUAUUUGCUGCAUUGCUUUGGGUGUUGAACCGUGCAUUGAUUGCAUAUUACAUUGAUUUGGAUUUGGAUUGUACACUGAAAAUUUAGGUGUUUUUGGAGAGCUGACUGUACAAUAAAAUGAUCUACCUUGCAGUAUCAUUUUUUCACAAAGGAAGAAAUUUGGAGUAAUUACGGCCUUGGCGCUCUUCAUGUUGUGAGAGAACCUGUUCAGUAGGAUGCCGACAUGCAUGAGGAAGCCAACGGACAGCCAGAGCUGGAAGGCGUGGAGCUUGAGCUGCAGUGACGACGACAACUUGGGUGUCAGCUGCAAAAAACUGCAGUUCAAAGUGUUCAACCAAGUGUAAGUUUGCAGUAAGUCAAUAAUUGCAGUUCUACAAUGACACAUUCAGACUUGCAUCCAAAGUUAGAUAGGAACAUGGAAAGAAUCUCCGAAACUUAUUUACAGGGCAGAGAAAACUUCACACCUAUUAUCUUCAGUGGUUGAACUCUCUUGUAGCUUUGGUUCAGAUCCUAAAGCUAUAUGAAGCACCAUAGAUUGAGUUUGCAAGCAAAAGGAUCACACAACCUGAUAGUACUGGUAGCAGUCUUUUUCUUCCAAAGUUUAGCAUUGAUGUCUGUCAAUUUGCAGGUAAGUUACAUGUGUGCGAACAAGAGGUUGACCAACAAGUUGUUGAUUUCUUAAUCUCGGAAACUUGAUCCUUAUAUAAAUGGCUAUCAGUUAAUUUUUUAUUGAACUUUUGGUCUCUUUAAAAUACCAGUACACGGUAUUUAGGUCCAAAGGUAAGUAGCAACCUAUUUGAGGGCUCCUUUGAUUCAAAGGAAUUCCAUGGGACUUUUGGAGGGUUAGAAUCCUUAGGAUUUUUUCCUACAUUUGUUGUUUGAUUCACAAGAUUGAAUCCCAUAGGAUUUUUUCCUAUGGAAUCAAGUGUACUAUAUUUCAUUGGAAAUCUAGCAUCCACUCCAACUUCUUUUUUCAAUUCCUUUGUUUUUUCUGUAGCAUCAAACACUCUAUAUAAUCUUAUAGGAUUCAAGUGGACAUGCCACUCAAAUCCUGUAUUUUCCUUAUUCCCGCGUUUUUAAAAUCCUGCAAAUCAAAUAGGGCCUGAGCAAGUUGCAAACACAUCCGGGAUCUGGAAGGUGAGCGGUCUGAGCCGCCCUUCUCGGCUCGGUUUAUUCCGAUUCUGAACCCGGUCCUGUGAUGCGAUCCCUGUUCCUCCUACUGUAUACUGUGCCUCGGCGCGCCUCGCUAGCUGUUGUUGGAUUGGCUCGAAUUUAGGAUGACAAGGUCGUGAUCAGGGUGGCGCUUUCUGAAUGAGAGCAGAGCCAGUGCGGCCUUCGACCAAUUUGGGACUUGGAACAGGAUCAGUCAAUUGAUGUCGUUUUGUUUCUGCGGUUCCACUUUUGUUACCAGGGACGGAGAUUGUUGAAUGUGUGGUUGAGUGUUUCGGUUCUGCGAGCAGUCAUAUGCUCGUUAGAUUAGCUCAGCACAGGGAAGUCCUAUGGGAGGAAUAUAUGAAACCGUUGACUUCAGGAUAUGUUGCUUGGUUGUUCACGACCUUCCUAGAUGAGUAUGAAUUAUAUCUCGCAGACCAUAAUAAAUCAAUGAUUAUUCUAUAACUUUGAGAUGCGAUUGGGUUAGAUCGGAUAUGAUCGUGAUAUGCUCUAUAUUGUUAUGUUUGAUGAAUCGUAGUUCUAACAUUGCGCCUACACCAGGUUUUCCAUCCACUGCAUGGCUGGCUAGGAGUGGCUGUCCGAUGGGGUGCUCGGCGAGGUCGAAGCCGCCGCGUACUGGACUGCCGUCGCGCCAAACGUCGAGGAGUACGGCAGUGCCGUGGCCAGGGCCAACGCUUCCGGUGCCGAGAACGUGGCCAAGUGGACCAUGUGGUGCGGGGUGAUGACCGUGGACAGGCUCCGCUGGCGGAACAAGGUGCUCCGAAAGAGGAUUCAAACCAGCGAUAAUGAGGCCGAGGUCUGCCCGGAGAUGCUCAGGUGUAUCAAAAGGUAGUGUUUUCUUUGUCAAUUUUCACAUCAAAUGUGUUUCUAAUUUGCGGUCAAGCAAACUUAUUCAGUGGGAUUUGUGAUGCAUAAAUCAAUAAAUGCUUCAGGUUUUGGGCACAUCACAGUUCAUAGUUAGAUUAGAUUAUUAGAUUAAAUCGUGAUGCAAUGUGCCAUCAUGGGUAUCGCAUUUGCGUUCGAUGGUAUUUGUGUUAAAAAUCUUUAUGGUUAGUAUUGAUAAUCUCCCUGAUUGCACUUGUUUUACUUGUUCUGCUGUUUGGUAUCCCUGGUGCUAUGUUAAUCUUGUCUGGUUGGUCCUGCUAUGUAUGGUGAUUGGUGAAUUAUAGCAAUGGCAUGAUGUCAUAGGAGAAGAAUCCGUGAUUGCAGACAGCUACAUUUUGAUGAAUUCUGCAACUGGGCUAACUUAAGUGUGUGCACCUUAGGCUGAUUGUGUUGUUUCGUUUUGAGAUUCCUCACCAUGCUAUGUUAUCAUGGUUUUAGGUUUCUUUGUACUUAAUUACACGCCGCAGCGGCGACCAAGAAGCGCGUGGCCCAGCUGACCAAGAAGGCCAGGAACGUGGCCGCCGGUGACAAGGAGCCCGGAUUUAAGUAUCUUUGCUGGGUGUCGAUGGUGGUAUGUCUCUCUAUCUCUCUCUGCAUGUAGUUCCAGUAGUUCUAUGGUACUUUUUUCUGCUAAUUUCUAAUUUCUAUUGGCUAUAUACAAGAUUGUGAAUUUUUUUGGGUGUUGCACCUAUAGUAAUCAGUGACCUGUACCAACUGAAGAUGAACGAGAGAACAAAAUAAGAAAUGGGUGGCUAUUGAAUUGUCAUGAUAGAUCAAAAUCAUGACCAGUUAGUUAGUUGUUCCUCCAAUAGCAUUGCAUGUAAAUGAAUCUUAAUAUAGCUCACCACAGCUCGCUCCUCCUCCCCGUUUCUUCUUCAGUUGUGCCAAACUUGAGGCUGUAGCUACUAUUCAGAUAGUUAAACUUAGAUUUUUGUGGUCGGCGUCCUGCCUGGCAAUUUUGGAAACAGAGGUGGCACGACUCUAUGAUAUGGAUAUGAGUACAAUAGUGUUUGACAGUGGCACAUGCAACGGUGCUCACGGGUGCCAUGCUGCUAGGCAGGUUGUCUGCACGGUGUUGCAGUGGUCAGUGGCGGUGCACCUACGUCAUGUAUGGAUCAAUAAAACUAGGCAUGAGUGCCAGUGGGUUGUAAAUACCAUGAUUCAGUUGCACAUAUGUCUUUGGUUGGAUCAACACGUCGCAUUUUACUUAGUGAUUUGUCGUGAGUGCUCUUGUGUGAGAUUAGCAUGUCUUUCAUAUCUGCCUUUAAUGCAUGCUUUUGUUUUACCAGUUGCCAGUCACAAGGCUUGAUUAGUACCCUGAACGCUUUAAUAUCUUCUGUUGUUUAAGGUCUGAUCUUGCUUAUUUUGCUAAUACCAUAUGAUACCAAUGGAUUGAACCUUUCUGUCAUUAUUAUUUAGAUUGUAUUUUCGUAUGCUUUUGUUGGAUAAAUCAAUGGUGGUGCUGCAUAUUUCAUUUCUUGGACGGUUGUGUCUUCCCUGUGGUAUCUUUCUGCAACUGAAUUCAUGGUGCUGCUAGAUGUGCGUAGAUUAUGGCAGCUCGUUUUGAGAUGUUUUCGGAAGCCUCACACAUGUUCUCGAGUCAGUAACUUCAAACAGUUCAUCAUCACCUUCAAAACCGGGACAACUUUGAGAAAUAAAUCAAUGUUGUUGAUGCUUAUAUUGAUUUUACUUAAUCAAAAAUAUGUUUCACAACAUUGUUGAAGCUUUGGCUCUUUUUUACAGCUGACAUUUACUGCUCUGCAUUUGCUUGGUUUUGUUUCACCGAAGGAUGACCAAAUGUAUGUACAUUUACAGCUGACACAUUAUUAAAGGGAAGAGGAUCAACUACCCGAUUUUCAUCAGUGAUGACAAAGGUAUGUAUGUAUACACCGAGUAGCAAAUGCCGUUGCCUCUAAAUUUUGUUGAUGAUGUUGUGUUUGACAAACUGUGGUAGGAACUUGUACCCUACCAGGCCUGGGGCGUAAGCAGUAGGGGAAGGAGGGAGCUGGGCGAGGCGAUGAGCGGCCGCGCCGGCGGUUGAGCGCCGUCGCGGAAGAGGAGGGAGAUGGCGGCGGCGGCUAGGGUUCCGGCUCCUCUGGGAGCCGGGCAAUAGAGGUAAUAAUCUUUUUAUUGCUUAAUUCCAAAAAGAGUCUUACAGCCUAUAUUUAUAACCUAGAUAACUUGCAGAAUAAUUAACCUAAGAUAACUUGUGGGCUAAGAUUGCCCGGUGGGCCUAGCUAAACCGGCCAUAACACUUCUCCCCGCCUGCACAAACAGCUCGUCCUCGAGCUGUAAGGUGGGGAAGCGCUUGCGGAACUCCUUUAGGUGAUCAACUAGCGUCAAACACCUUCUCGACAGCUGGGGCGGCCAGGUCGGCGACGACGGCGUCCUCCGGAAUGUAGUCUGCAACCUCCAGGUAGAAGAGUCGCGGGCAAGCAUGGCCGGGCGUGUAGGGCUCGUCGCAGUUGAAGCACAACCCUUGGCGGCGACGCUCGAGUAGCUCGGCUGAGGUGAGCCGGCAGAACGGGCGCGCCGCGGUCACGGCGAGGGGUGCCGCAGUAGCCUGUGCAGGCCGACCCUGUGCGGAAUCCGGCCCGGGUAGCGACCCAGCGGUCCGGGAUGGUGAUUCCUGCUGGAUGGCCACCGCGCGGCGCUCGAAAGCGCGGGCGUAGUACAUGGCCGACUGGAGAUCCUGGGGUCCCCGAAGCUCCACGUCCACGCGGAUGUGAUCCGGAAGUCCACCGACAAAGAGGUCGGCCCGCUGCUGCACCGUCACACCCGACGCAUGGCAUGCCAUGGCCUGAAAACGGGCGGCGUAGUCCUGCACCGUGGAGGUGAAGGGAAGGCGGCCGAGCUCCGCUAGGCGGCUCCCGCGAACCGGAGGCCCAAAGCGAAGGAGGCAGAGCUCGCGGAAGCGCUCCCAAGGGGGCAUGGCGCCCUCGUCCUGCUCGAGGGCGUAAUACCAGGUCUGUGCCGCGCCGCGGAGGUGAUACAAGGCGAGCCAGGUAUGCUCCGAUGCGAGAGUGCGCUGCCCGCGAAAGAACUGGUCGCAUUGGUUGAGCCAGUUGAGGGGGUCCUCCGUGCCGUCAUAGGUGGCGAAGUCGAUCUUGGCAAACCGUGGCGGUGUCUGGGUCGGAGCGCCGUGUCGAGCUGGCUCAGAGGUGCGAAGCAGCGAGGCGGGUGGCGCCUGGUCGGAGUACUCCGGGUAGGGACCCGCGGAGCUGGAUGGCCCGCCGAACUGCGGAAACGGGGUCGGUUGCUCCGGAGCCGUGGUGUAGACCGGCGAUGGCGAAGACCCAGCCGCCCACGCUAGAAGGAGGGCGUGAGAGGGCCGGCCGGGGGCCUUUUUGCCCACGGCCGGGCAAGAGGGAAGGGAUUUCCUUCUUAAUUCUUGCUUGAUUAGAUUGAUACAUCUCCUCUCUUUAUAUAGAGAGGUUUACUUGACUCCCAAGCAAGGCUUUCUUGACCCCUAAGAAAGCGACUCUUAUCUCUAAUUAACCCUAAGACUAAUGGGUCCAUUAGGCCCAUUGCGUACUCUAACACUACACCCCACCUGGACAUGCAGCUUGUCCUCAAGCUGCAGCCUAACCAACUUAUAACCAUGACUCGACGCAACCCAAACCUAACACCUAAAAACAAGCCUUUUACAUCUCGGCUUGUUUUAUUAUUCUCAACCUGAAAUGGACUGGAACGAUUUAUUUUGGACCUCUUAACAAAAAGUGGAUACCAUCCGCACGUCGGACGUGCACGUGUACAAGCACCUGGAUCCCAUGGACACCAUCUGGACAAUAGGAGUGCAUGUGUAUGGCCACCUGGAAGUGGUCGCAAGAGUGACCAGCAGAGGCGCCCUUGCGGCGCCCGGUGACGGAAUGCAAUGGUGCUACGUGGUGCGUUGUUGUCGGUGACACCAUGCCUUCUUCCUGCCGGACGGCUGUUGGUCUGCACCGCACAGGGAAGAGUGGGGGGCUUGCGAUGGAGAAUGACGAGGAGGGGUGCGCCCCCCCAACCGCCAAUGUCGCAGACUUGGAGGUCGCUGCCCGUGGGGAAAACAGCAUGCCCGCUGCCCGUGGGGGAAACUGCAUGCCCAAGAUCCCCGGCGGAGCGGAUGAGAUCGAGGUCCUUUGCGCAGCGAAGGGCAACUUGGAGGAGCGGCAGCUGCAGACCACGCAUCUCCCGCACACGCCGACGCGCUAGGAGGCCGCGCGCAGUAGCCUGCAGCCUCACCGCCGCCGACACGUGGCGGGUAGCGAUCCAAGACUCAAGCGGUGACAGCGACGGCGGGGACUGGACUUGGUGGAGCGGGACUCCCGCCGACGCGGUCGAUGCGGGGCCGGAGCUAACCGGCGGUGGCGCACCGGGCAGCGGCAGCGGCUGCUGCGGCGGAGCGCCGGGCGCGGCGGAGGCCGGCAGGAGCGGCGGCUGCCAGUGCAGCCAGGGCUGAGCGGUGGUGGCGAUGGAUGUCAGCUGCAGUGGCCCGGCGAGCGCGGCGGGGGCCGCUUGGUGCGGCGGCUGCCACGGCAGCCACGGCGGCGCGGUGGCGGUGAUGGGCGGCGCAGCCGGGUGCGGCCCAUAGGACCCGGCCAAGAACAGGUGGAUCUCCUGGAACGCCUGUGUUAGGUCCCGCAGCGUCCCGGACACCUCCGGGGUGAGGACGACGGGGGCGGGCGCGACGGAGGAUCCCGGCGCGGGCAGGAGCGGGGCGACGGUCGUGACCGGCAGCGGAAGAGACGGGUUGGGCGGCGGUGAAGACAUGAUCGAACCGAAGCUAGCUGAUACCAAAUUGUUAUGGCGCUGCUAGAAGGAGGGCGCGAGAGGGCCGGCCGGGGGUCUUUUUGCCCACGGCCGGGCAAGAGGGAAGGGAUUUCCUUCUUAAUUCUUGCUUGAUUAGAUUGAUACAUCUCCUCUCUUUAUAUAGAGAGGUUUACUUGACUCCCAAGCAAGGCUUACUUGACCCCUAAGAAAGCGACUCUUAUCUCUAAUUAACCCUAAGACUAACGGGUCCAUUAGGCCCAUUACGUAGUCUAACAAACUGGUUGGCUCGACUAUUCAGGUAGAUGCCGUCGGAAACGCCACCGUGCUAGAAUGCCAGGGAUUAAAGUUGUGUGCAGUGAACGUGUGAGAGGACCAAAAAAAGAGGUAACCCACUGACCCUACAUAAUAAGUAACAUGUAUCCGUAUUUGGAGCUUAACAAAAAGUAGUUGUGAUGAGAUAUUAUUAUCAAUAUAGAGUGUGUAUGAUGUGUCUAAUUUUCACCUUUCUUCCAGGUCAUCUUCUACUAAUAUGCUGAUUGGCUUAUGUGACACCUUUUUUUGUUAUUGAGUAGGAUGUAGAAUGGGAGAUAGAUAUGGGAAGAACAAAGGAUGUUGUGUACUCUCUUUGGAUCUGAUGCCACCAAAGUUGAGCCGAUUUGUGCUCUCCUUUCGUCCCAUGUUGUGUCUAGGUUACCAAGUUUGUGUCUGCUUCUAUGAUUAGUUGCUCAUGCUUCAUGGUCUUUGUGGGAAACACAACAUGAUGCCUUGCUGGUUCCUUAGUCCCAUGUUUGUUCAUAUCCUUAAUUAUAAUAAUUGUUGAUCGGUAGGGCUAUGUCUGUUGGUGCCACUAUCUAAAUAAAUCAAUUAUCUUGAUGGUGUCAUGUGUUGAGUUUACACAAUCAUGUAAUCCAGGGUUCCAAACUAUUGCUAAUGGUUCGUAAUUUUCUAUUUUGUUGCAGUUGACUUGCUGUGUAAUUUUGUGAUACAACUUCUUCUCUUUUAUCGAUGGAGGAGGUAGUCAGAAGUUGUCAUUUUGAAACGCCUCCACUUCUUCUGCAAAAGAUUGGUGAAUUUUCCAAAGGGACGGAAGAAGUCGAUCAAAGGAUCUACUCACCUGAGGUACAUCUCAUAAUUUUUAAUGUGAAGUUGUAUUUGUGUUAUUCCUAUCCAAAAUUUGUGUUUAAUGUGAAGUUGUAUAUGUUUCAUACCUAUCAAAAAUUUGUGGAUGAACUGGUUCCUAUGUUACGUAAAUAAUUUGAGCUUGGGCUAACAUUACUAUUCAUUUUUCACAUUGUACCUGCUAUAUCCGAUAGUUCUAUGGUAGAAGUGAGCAACUUUGUAGUGGGUUGAAUAUUACUGGAUCUCUUCCAAAUGCUUCAGAACACUAAAUAUAGCUAUAAUGUCUCUCUUUGCUUUGCUAGAAUAUCUCUUCAAAUUUAAGAGGAGCUUGGUACUAUUUUUUCUGAUGGAUUUUCCUUAUUAGUAAUGCUUUAUGACAAUCAUAAGAUUUGUCUCUGAUGGUUUUUCUUACAAGUUCCCAACCAUUCUGUUACCCUCCUCUUCUAUCACAAAGAUAGGCACACCGUUAUUGUAAUUCCCUAUCAAAAUAUGCUACUAUUUAAGCUUUUACAUAGCUAAAAUAUGUUGACUUCAUAGCAUAGAUCAACACUUCUUGAAGAAUCAGCAAACAGUAGGCCUGAAGGAACAUACCAGUUUAGAGGAUAUUUCUUAAUAAUGAACGCAAAUUGGCGUUUGUUUCUUAAUCGCCACAAAUACUUUAUUCACACACACAAGAGAGAGAGGGCUGUAAUUCACAGCAGUAACUUUUAUAACACAACUGGUGAGUGCAAGUCUGCUUCCUCAAUGAAAGCUACCUACAAAUUCUCAAUUUUCACGAGGUAAAACGAUACAGACCAAAUAUAUAAUCAUCAGUAGCCAGACUACUUACACUAUACAUUCUUCCAGUAGUUUUUUCAUCAACCCUUACUUUGAAAGCUUAGGCUUGAAAAUUGGGGCAAGAAAGUUUGAACAGAACUGGAAAUAGUAUAUACCGCAACAUAGUUAAUACCUUCUGUUGUGGCACAUCCUGUGUUUUUUCGGCUUAUACUUGGGCUGAUUGCUCUGCCAAAUAGGAGUAUUACGAAGCAGAUAUGAAUGAAAUGAUGCCUCGGCUUUCGUUUUCUGCCACACAUGUUUUAUUGUAUAAACUGGAGCUUCACAACUAAAAAUAAAGAUAAAUUAUAGCUUAAGUACAACCAGGUUGCUGAGUUUAUUCAUAUCAGCUAGCACUCUGCCUUUUAUCAACCUUUGAAUGGAACUAGGUAUUACUCUUUGUGAAUAUGAAGUCAAAAUUAAUAAUUAAUAAAGGUAAAAUAUACCUUUUAUGUUUAUUCACAGUUGUCAUCACGAAGGUUGCUGAGUUUUUUUGUGCUCACAGACCCUGAUCAGUUCUACUAGAGCAUUGUAAUUAACAAUCACCCGCAGUUGAUUUCAUGACCGGUGGGCUUUCAGCAAAUAAACAAUCAGAAGGAAUCAAUACGAAUAUAACCCGUUGAGUUCAACAUCCUCCAAUAAUAUAAUCAUGCCUCGAUUGGAAUUAGUACUACAAUAUAUAACAUCUUCUUUUUGUAGUUUUUUAUUUAUAUGUGUCUAUAUGGUUUUCCAUGAAAAUCCAAAAGGGCCUCGAAGUGUUGGAGCUUGGAUCUGGGGGGUGCAUUGGUGAGCCAUCCCUUCUCCUUCACUGGCUUCUCUAGUUUUUUUGUGCAUAUCAUGCCUUGAUUUGUGCUCAGUUGGUGUGAAAUGUGCAAGCAAAGCUAUGUGUGCGAUCUACUGCCUGUUAUCAUGUGUCACAAACUACUAUAAAUGCAUACUAAUGCCCCUUUAUUAUAUAUGUCUACUGCCUUUUACAUUCUCUAGGGCUAAGCCACUACUUAUUCCAGUAUACUGAAUUGCUAUUGUCUGCACUUCUAUUGUGUUUUGUUAUACCUUUUAAACAUGCACCGUAUGCCAUAGAUUGGUAUGACAAGCACAACCACUGUGAUAUGUGUGAAGAGAUGUGACGUAUCUUGAUGUUUUUACUGAACCAUUAUUAUUCUGGGUGCAUAACGAUUGUAUGGUACUGUCAUUUCUUUUAUAUCACUGUUUGCAUCACCAGGUGUUUACGCUAAAACAAGUCGGUUGCUGCAAGUCUUGCAAGAAAUUUGGGUGACAAGGCGUCUGGACGGAACUAUCUAUCCAUCUAUCUAUCUAAUAUAGUUUACUACUAUACCAUGUAAAAUCAGUGUCUCCACUACCACUAUGGCUUGGUGUGGUCAUGCUAUGAUGUUAGCGGACACGAAUGUUUAGUGAUAUGUUGAUUCAGGAAAUUUGCAUUUGGUUCAGCAUGUAGUUGGGCUCUAUGCUCUUAGGAGAUAAUGUUCUGUGAAUUCUUUUCCAACUGUUAUUGCCACAAAAUUGAAAUUUGGUAUUGACAUUAUGAAGAUUACCGUAAGUGUGAAAGAUAUUGAG